UACGGACCAGACUCCUACGGGAGGCAGCAGUAAGGAAUAUUGGUCAAUGGGCGGAAGCCUGAACCAGCCAUGCCGCGUGCAGGAAGACGGCCCUACGGGUUGUAAACUGCUUUUGUACCGGAAUAAACCCCGAUUCGUGAAUUGGGCUGAAUGUACGGUAAGAAUAAGGAUCGGCUAACUCCGUGCCAGCAGCCGCGGUAAUACGGAGGAUCCAAGCGUUAUCCGGAUUUAUUGGGUUUAAAGGGUGCGUAGGUGGCCUGUUAAGUCAGGGGUGAAAGACGGUAGCUUAACUAUCGCAGUGCCCUUGAUACUGAUGGGCUUGAAUGAACUAGAGGUAGGCGGAAUGUGACAAGUAGCGGUGAAAUGCAUAGAUAUGUCACAGAACACCAAUUGCGAAGGCAGCUUACUAUGGUUUUAUUGACACUGAGGCACGAAAGCGUGGGGAUCAAACAGGAUUAGAUACCCUGGUAGUCCACGCCCUAAACGAUGAAUACUCGAUGUUGGCGAUAUACGGUCAGCGUCUAAGCGAAAGCGUUAAGUAUUCCACCUGGGGAGUACGCCCGCAAGGGUGAAACUCAAAGGAAUUGACGGGGGCCCGCACAAGCGGAGGAGCAUGUGGUUUAAUUCGAUGAUACGCGAGGAACCUUACCCGGGCUUGAAAGUUAGUGAAUGUGACAGAGACGUCACAGUUCUUCGGAACACGAAACUAGGUGCUGCAUGGCUGUCGUCAGCUCGUGCCGUGAGGCGUUGGGUUAAGUCCCGCAACGAGCGCAACCCCUAUGUUUAGUUGCCAGCACGUUAAGGUGGGGACUCUAAACAGACUGCCUAUGCAAAUAGAGAGGAAGGAGGGGACGACGUCAAGUCAUCAUGGCCCUUACGUCCGGGGCUACACACGUGCUACAAUGGGCAGUACAGAGGGCAGCUACCUGGCAACAGGAUGCCAAUCUCAUAAAGCUGUUCACAGUUCGGAUCGGGGUCUGCAACUCGACCCCGUGAAGUUGGAUUCGCUAGUAAUCGCGUAUCAGCAAUGACGCGGUGAAUACGUUCCCGGGCCUCGUACACACCGCCCGUCAAGCCAUGGAAGCUGGAAGUGCCUGAAGUGCGUAACCGCAAGGAGCGUCCUAGGGUAAAGUCGGUAACUGGGGCUAAGUCGGAACAAGGUAGCCGUACCGGAAGGUGUGGCUG
rnacentral:rRNA from 1 species